rnacentral:rRNA from 1 species
AUACGGAGGGUCCAAGCGUUAUCCGGAAUCAUUGGGUUUAAAGGGUCCGCAGGCGGUCAAUUAAGUCAGAGGUGAAAGCCCAUCGCUCAACGAUGGAACUGCCUUUGAUACUGGUUGACUUGAGUUAUACGGAAGUAGAUAGAAUAAGUAGUGUAGCGGUGAAAUGCAUAGAUAUUACUUAGAAUACCGAUUGCGAAGGCAGUCUACUACGUAUAUACUGACGCUGAGGGACGAAAGCGUGGGGAGCGAACAGGAUUAGAUACCCUAGUAGUCCC